rnacentral:rRNA from 1 species
ACUGGGGAAAUUCCGGAUAACGCAUAUUUGCUGGAAUGCUUUAUGCGUCAAAAGGAUUCCUCUGCCCAAGGAUGGGUCUGCGGCCUAUCAGGUAGUAGUGGGUGUAAUGUACCUACUAGCCAGCGACGGGUACGGGUUGUGAGAGCAAGAGCCCGGAGAUGGAUUCUGAGACAUGAAUCCCCGCCCUACGGGGCGCAGCAGGCGCUAAAACUUUACAAUGCGGGAAACCGUGAUAAGGGGACACCGAGUGCCAACAUCAUAUGCUGGCUGUCCGGAUGUGUAAAAUACAUCCGUUAGCAAGGGCCGGGCAAGACCGGUGCCAGCAGCCGCGGUAAUACGAU